rnacentral:rRNA from 1 species
CAGCAGCCGCGGUAAAACGAAGGGGGCUAGCGUUGUUCGGAAUUACUGGGCGUAAAGCGCACGUAGGCGGACAUUUAAGUCAGGGGUGAAAUCCCGGGGCUCAACCCCGGAACUGCCUUUGAUACUGGGUGUCUAGAGUAUGGAAGAGGUGAGUGGAAUUCCGAGUGUAGAGGUGAAAUUCGUAGAUAUUCGGAGGAACACCAGUGGCGAAGGCGGCUCACUGGUCCAUUACUGACGCUGAGGUGCGAAAGCGUGGGGAUCAAACAGGAUUAGAGACCCCUGUAGUCCCUGUCUCUUAUAC